rnacentral:lncRNA from 1 species
UUAAUCAAAGAUUGUAAAUGAAAAUUUAAAAUGACUUAAUAAAAUUAGAAAGAAGAUAAAAUUUUAGAAUUACCAUAUAUAAACAAUUAAAGUAUUCCUAAAACUUUUAUUCUUCUCUAUGACUUAAUCUGCAUGAUUUAACUACAAAUACAUCCAUUAUUUUCGUUCUCUUGUAAAUGUCAUUUAUAACCUUCACUAACAAUCUAAACUAAUUAACUCUAUUAGGAUUUAAAUGAUCAAAUCCUGUGGUUUAUAAAACUCCAGGUUGAAUUUUAAUUUUUUAAUAAUUUUUUAAAAUUAAAAACAAUCACUUCUUUAUUAUGAUAUUAAAAUAAAGUAAUUCUCUAUGUGUUGAAAAAAAUUAAACAACUAAAUUAUACCUACUAUGAUAUAAAAUUAGUUUAAUAAAAAGCUAAAAAUGUAUUCUAAAUUGUAAAUAUUAAUAUUAUAACAUAAUGUCAAUCUGUAUCCCUUCGAAAGAAUUUUAAAAUUUAUAAAGUAAAACUUAACUAUCUUAAAGUCAAUAUUAAAGAUUAAAACGAUAAAUUAAAUAUUUAGAGAAGUAAAAAAGUUUUAAAAGAACUAAAAUCAAAUUGAAAACACUUUAAAAAAAAAGGAUCUAAAAUUUUGAUAACAGAAAUAAAAAAAAUAUAUAUAUAUAUAUAUUAAAAGAACUCAUUGUAAAGGAUAUUAUAUACUUGGUUAUAAUCUUGAGAAUCUUGUGAUUCAUAGAUGGAGAAAUUAAGGGCCAAUAAAUCAUGGAAGAAAGUAUUAGAGAGCGAGGUUGAGAUCGAGAGAGUUAUCGUGCAGGUGAUGUUGGUCGUUCUUACGUUUUUUGAGAGUGAGACGAGGCGAAGGAGAUGCAGUCGACGGAGUUGUGAAACGCAGAGGUUGUCCUCUGAAUUCAACCUCGUUUGUGAAAUCUUCCCACUCGAAUGAUGGCACCCAACCGCUCUGUUCUUCUGUCGGCACUUUCCUCUUCUUCUCACUCUUUUCUAAUUCCUCCAACUCUUUUCGUCUCCGAUCACGCGCGUCCCGGAACCUCCGCAGAAGCGCGUAAAACUCCUCCAUCUUCAUCAUCUCUUCUUUUUCUUCGUCUUUUUCCUUUCUCUUUUUGUCUUCCAUGAAUCUGCGUAAUAUGUUAUUAACAGGAAAACCAGAGUUAACUAACAGAAAGAAAGAACACAAGAAGAAUGAAGAAGAGAAUGAAAACAAUGUCUGCGUCCUGGUAGAGAGAGAGAUAGAUGUUGGCAACUACCAAAUUGGAAACUCUGUUAAUUUUCCUUUUAUAUCCAUACUGGACCGAUGUGGAUUAUGUCGGGUUCUUAAUUUCGAGGGACCAUAAGACACCCACAAAAUAAAAUACAUAUACUACACAAUUUAAAAUAUUAGUAUUUUAAAUAGAUUUAUUUUUAAUAUAUUAUUAUAUUAUCAAAAUAGUUGUCAAGCAACGAAGUGAUAUAUCUUCUCAUUUCAUUUAAAUUUUUAGUAAAUAUUUAUGUCAUGUUUAAUUCAAUUUCCAAAAAAUCGAUUC